rnacentral:rRNA from 1 species
CUCGUAGGCGGUUCGUCGCGUCCGGUGUGAAAGUCCAUCGCUUAACGGUGGAUCUGCGCCGGGUACGGGCGGGCUGGAGUGCGGUAGGGGAGACUGGAAUUCCCGGUGUAACGGUGGAAUGUGUAAAUAUCGGGAAGAACACCGAUGGCGAAGGCAGGUCUCUGGGCCGUCACUGACGCUGAGGAGCGAAAGCGUGGGGAGCGAACA